CUGCGUCUGAUUAGUUCGUUGGUGAGGUAAUGGCUCUACCAAGGCUACGAUCAGUAGGGGAUCUAAGAGGAUGACCCUCCACACUGGAACUGAGAUAAGGACCCAGACUUCUACGGAAGGCAGCAGUGAGGAAUAUUGGUCAAUGGAGGGAACUCUGAACCAGCUAAGCCGCGUGUACGGAUGAAAGUCUUUUCGACUGUAAACUACUUUUGCUUAGAAAUAAAAGUUACUACGUGAUAGUAACCUGAAGGUACUAUGCGAAUAAGUGUCGGCUAAUUUCGUGCCAGCAGCCGCGGUAAGACGAAAGACACAAGCGUUAUCCGGAUUUAUUGGGUUUAAAGGGUGUGUAGGCCGUUUAUUAAGUCAGUAGUGAAAGCUUACAGCUUAACUGUAAAAUAGCUAUUGAUACUGAUAAUCUUGAGUAAUAUUGGAGCAUCUGGAAUGUAUGGUGUAGCGGUGAAAUGCAUAGAUAUCAUACAGAACACCAAUAGCGAAGGCAGGAUGCUAAAUAUUUACUGACGCUGAGACACGAAAGCGUGGGGAGCAAACAGGAUUAGAUACCCUGGUAGUCCAUGCUAUAAACGAUGAUCACUAGCUAUUGGAAAAACUAUAUUCAGUGGCUAAGUAAAAGCGAUAAGUGAUCCACCUGAGAAGUACGAUCGCAAGAUUGAAACUCAAAGGAAUUGACGGGGUUCUGUACAAGCGGUGGAGCAUGUGGUUUAAUUCGAUGAUACGCGAGGAACCUUACCAAGUCUUAAAUGUAUUCCGAAUAAGUUGGAAACAAUUUAGUCUAUAAGACGUAAUACAAGGUGCUGCAUGGUUGUCUUCAGUUCGUGCUGUGAAGUGUUUGGUUAAGUCCUAUAACGAGCGAAACCCUUAUUGUUAGUUGCCAUCGGGUAAAGCCGGGGACUCUAACAAAACUGCCGGUGUAAAUUGUGAGGAAGGUGGGGAUUAUGUCAA
rnacentral:rRNA from 1 species